rnacentral:rRNA from 1 species
CUCAGGGGUAAACGGAAAAGACCUGAAUAUCCGAAAGGGGAGAUUCACGUCUUACCAGUUGCUCAACUUUUAAAUGAUUUGAGAUGGCCUCUCGCCCUAUCCAGUGUAACUGCUGUGGUAGUGGGUUUGGUCGCUCGCAUUUAAAUUGGAAGGGUAAUGGUGGACCGCACUUCUCCCUUAGUAGGACGUUGCGACCUGUCAAAUAAUAUCCUAAGUAUAUGGCUAAUUUGUCUGUUUUAGGCAAUACCGCGAGGUAUUUCCUUUAACAGUUUUAGCCGUUUAUAUAUACUGGAUAUAAUUGACAGUAACGAAUCAUGGUGUUGAGCCACUUUGAAAUUGUAUAUUUAUAUGUAUAAUGGAAAGUGUCCUUGUGGCUGUUUGCAAGUGGGUUGGUUAAUUAGUUUUAGUCGGAUUUUGGUCCGUCUAGCUAUUCCGCCUACUGUUGGUAAACUGUUCCUUGGACAGUGCUUAUAACACCGGUCGGCAGCGAUUCAGGUUCAGGCUCUUAUCCGACCCGUCUUGAAACACGGACCAAGGAGUUUAGCGUGUACGCAAGUCAUUGGGUGUAUAAAACUCAAAGGCGCAAUGAAAUUGAAA